AAGUGACAUAAACUGGCAUGUUCUGAAAGAAUCACUCUGGAUGCUGUGUGGAGAAAACACUGAAAAGAAUUCUAGAGUGAAAGUUUCAUGAAUAUAAGAAGCAAGACAAGGAAGUGGCUUAUGCUUAAGGCCUUAAAGGCAACCACUGUGACAAUCCAGCCAUUCUCUGGAGAAUUCAGCAGAAAGCCAGUUGGAAGGUUUGAAAUGGAAAUUACAAGCGCAAUAUUACAGAAGUGUGGAUUUUAGUUACAAUGUCUCUAUGAGAAAGUCUAAAAGUUAAACAUAAGCAAAACAACAAAAACAUCUAAAUACCAGUCUUUAUAGGGGGAGAAUAAUUGACUCCAUUCAAGUGUUCGCUCCUGUUUCAAUCAACUAUGGCUGAAGAGUGAGGAGACAUUUGGAAUAAAUAUGGCUUCUGGGGGCCCAUUCCUAUGGAUCAGCAGCUGGCUUCUGGAGGCCCAUUCCUGUGAAUCGUCGAUCUCAUAGAAGAUAAUAUUGUUAGAAGGCUUACCUCAUUGAUGCUGAACAUCCUAAAAAGCUUCUGCUGCUUUGAGUCACUGAAAAAGACCAAGAAACAUGAAUUUAAAAAAAAAUUUCAAAUGUUAUAAAAUAAAUAAUAUGAACUCAUUAUACCUACAAUGAAUAAUUUAAAUUCUUCUUUGGUAGUCCAGGUUUAGAAACUAUGAAAACCCUAGAAGAAAACCUAGGCAAUGCCAUUCAGGACAUAGGCACGGACAAAGAUUUCAUGACGAAGACGCCAAAAACAACUGCAACAAAAGCAAAAAUUGACAGAUGGGAUCUCAUUAAACUAAAGAGCUUCCAUACAGCAAAAGAAGCUACCAUGAGAGUGAACAGACAACCUAUAGAAAGGGAGAAAAAUUUUGCAAUCUGUUCAUCUGACAAAGGUCUAAUAUCCAGCAUCUACAAGGAACUUAAAUAAAUUUACAAGAAAAAAACAAACCCAUUAGAAAAUGGGCAAAGGACAUGAAAAGAUACUUCUCAAAAGACAUACAUGUGGCCAACAAUCAUACAAAAAAAA
rnacentral:lncRNA from 1 species